rnacentral:lncRNA from 1 species
GGUCACGGCCAGAAAGCGCUCCUGUCCGUAGGCUGGCCGAGGACGAAGCCUCCUGUCUACGCGCCUCGCCCCCUCUUCCGGCAACGAGCCGCUGUCCUCCGCCGCCACCUCCAGCGGCGCUCCAGGCAGCGCGGGCCCCGCGCCAGGUCCGCUCGCGCAGCCGACCUAAGGAGCCCCACGGCGGAGAGAGAGGCCAGAGACGCGGCGCAGCCUGAGCCCGGCGAGCACAGCCAGCCGGCACCCAACCCGAGCCGCGACCGGCGCGCGAGCACUUCUGGGGGAGAGGCGGCAGCGCGUCACUUCCGGAGGCGGGUCGGCCGCUCCACGCGCCGACGCACUCUAGGCAAAGCGGCGUCCUUCGAUCAGCGUCCGGAUAGGCCCGCGCGGGAGGGCGCGCGGCGCCGAACUCGCUUCCCGUCAGCCCCUGCGCGCCCGUCCGGCGGUUGCGCGCACGCUCGCGCUCCCGGAGCCCGCGCCUGCGCCUCGUCGCCAUUCGCGCUGCCGCGCUGCAGGGCCUUGGAGCUGGCGGGCCCGCCCGCCCGCACGCCGCCCGCGGCCAGCCGGUUCAACUUCUCGUCUUUGUCCUUCUUCAUGUACUAUAGGCUAUUUUUUUGGUUUCGUCAAAAAGCCAUGUAGACUUGCCUGACCUUUGAAGACUGCUUUUAAGACUUCUCAUAAGACAAUUGGUGAGUCUGCUAGGGAAAAGCAUGUUGGUUUUUAUUUCUUGCCCACUCUAAAGGUAUUUGUCCUGGAUAAAGUGUUAUUCUACCAGCAUUACUUUGCAUAUAUUUUUGUUUACUUGUAACAGUUCUUAGCGUUUUUUUUUCCCCCGGAGGAAGAUUCAUCCUAAGCUAACAUUCAUGCCAGCCUUCCUCUAUUUUUUAGUAUGUGAGCCACCAGCACAGCAUGGCUUCUAACAGAGUGAUGUAGGUCUGCGCCCAGGAACCACACCCAGGCUGCUGAAGCAGAGCACGCCGAACUUAACCACUAGGCCACUGGGGCUGGCCCAACAUUUCUUUUUAAUGUUUAGGAAAAUAUUUUAUGAUAACACUUUUGGAAAGCGCUUGGGGUUCUUGAGGAAAAUCCCUAUAAAAGCAUACACACCCAUAUAUAAUGAUGUGUGAACAUGUGCUAGAUAUGCAUAUAUCAAUAUAUACAGUCAUGUGCCGCAUAAUGACGUUGAGGUCAACAAGGGACCGCAUGUGCAGCAGUGGUCCCGUAAGAUUAGUGCCAUAUGUAGCCUCGGUGUGUACUGGGCUGUACCAUCUAGGUUUGUAUAAGUACACUCCAUGGUGUUCACACAACGAUGAAGUCACCUAACAACACGUUUCUCAGAACAUAUCCCCAUUGUUAAGUGACGCAUGAAUGUACGAUGGGCUUUGAGAAUUGAACUUUGUAAUGUUCUUUUUAAUUUUUUUAAGAGGUUAUUAGAGUAUGUUAAUGAGGCUUGGUAGUAGGCAGGUGUGGGUAGUAAAAACUUUGAGAUUGGCCAGAAGAGUGGGUGGUAGGAAGAGGAAAGAGAGAGGGGCAGUUGGGAGAGAUAGGAGAUGAUACCAAAGUCUGAGGAGCCAUUGGGGUUUUUUACAGACUGAAGGGGAAUGGGAGUGGAUGAUGUAUUUACUGAGUGGCCCUAGAUGAAGAGAGAGCUGAUGAAUGUACGGAUUUAGCAGGCAGCAAUUAAGGACAAAAGGAGUCCAUCCAGUCGCAGAAGCUGAGGUGGCUGGAGGCUGCUCAAGGCAAGAGCAGUAGGAAUCAGGCCAAGUGGUAGUCAGUAGAAACAGGAACUAAUUUACAGGAGCAGCUAUAAAAUGUAGGGUUAAUAUAAAGUUUCCAAAGAGUCAGCAAAGGGAGAGAGACAGUCAAAGGGAAGUAGAGAUAAGGAGAAAAGUGCAAGGGCUUUGCGUCCGGAAAGGGGACACAGACUUGGAUUGCAUUCGGCAGAGGGGGCAGGUUAGAGAGGACCCGCUCUCCACUGUUGUCCUGUGUCCGAGACGCCGUUUAUGAGGUGUGGUCUUGUUUUAUUCUGGUUUUCAUUUGGUAAGUUUGCCAGAAGCAUGUUUUAUAAAACCUUCCUGGCUGUAGAACAGUGUGCUCCGUCGUUUCUGUGGGAAUAAAAGAAAAAUGCUUCACCCGUACA